rnacentral:lncRNA from 1 species
AUACCAGGUGCCAAACUUCAUUAUCCACCCCACCACCUUGCCCGGGAGGGAGAUCUGUGAAAGCGAAACGUGAUUUAAGCUGGGAUCUGGCAGCAACUUCGUGGACUCUGAAGGGCACGUGGGAAAGGAGUUUUGAUUGAAGGUGAGGGAUUUAGUGAGGUAAAAUUAUAUCCAAAUUAGAGUUUGGUAAAGGCUUCCAGGUUAAUGUCCUGUUAACGCUUAUCCUGAUUUGUGGAGGACACUUAAGCUGUCUAGGCCUAACCUUGUGUUUGAUCACUCACCUUAAUUUGUAGACAUUCUAGGAGCUCUUUGUCAAUGCCUCUUACCAUUUUUAUCAUUAACUAUUUAUGCUUAUAGAAGCAGGAAAAAUAAAUUGUGGGAGCCUUCAUCUGCAAUAGGUUUACAACUUUUUUUCUAAAAUCUUGAGGCAAGGAGACUUAUUCCCCCGCCCCUUUUUUUCUCACAGAUUUCUUGUAUGUCUCCCUCGCCCCGCCCGCACCCCGUCCCCCCGCCCCCGGACAAUUAAUUGUAGGAGGAAACAAGAACUAAGAUGUCUAUUCGAGUGAUUUUUUAUAUCUUUCUUAAGGAGAAAAAGACUGACAUUUGACACUGUGCUCUUGUUUUGUCUUGCUGAUAAUAACUGACAGCAAUGUUUACUUUUCUUACAAAUGAAACUAUCAGGGUACGUACUUUUAAGCUCUUUAAUACAAUGGGUUUCAUCCUUCCAGUGGGAGAGUAUGAAUUGCCCACUCUGCGUAGACACAUGACUGCUGGCCUGUUGGACACAUGGUCACACUUGCUAUACUCUAAAUAGUGUCUUUGUGACCUGAAACAGUCAACACUUUUCUUAAAGCUACAGUGUGCCCACACUCAUUGUAUUUUUGCUUUGUAUGGAAUUUCAAAUUUACUUAUUACCUUCUCUAUGAAUAAUAGCAUAACUUAUGCAUUCCAUUUAUGCCUUUCAGGGAACCUGAUGGUUAAUUUCUACCUCUUAAAGUAACACAUUAUGUUGUAAGAUUUUGCUCUUAAUAUAGCAGUCCCCCUUAUCCUUGGUUUCACUUUCCAAGAUUUUGUCAACCAUGGCCCAAAAAUGUUACAUCACUACUCUUGCAUUUGGGGGGUAUUAUUACAUAAAAUGAUAGUUAUAUGAACACAAGCACUGUCACACUGCAACAGUCUGACAACCCAGACAGCAACUGGCUAAUGGCAAUCUGGGCAGGGACAGAGCAGACUGUGCUCCUCAGAAUGGUGCACAAUUUAAAACUUAUGAAUCGUUUAUUUCUGGAAUUUGCUAUUUAUGUCACAAUACUUAUGUCAUUCACCUCACUUCAUCUCAUCAUGUAGGUAUUUUAUCAUCUCACAUCACAAGAAGGAGAAGGGUGAGUUCAGUACACUAAGAUGCUUUGAGAGGGAGACCAUACAUAACUUUUAUUACAGUACACUCUUAAAAUUGUUUUAUUUUAUUAUUAUUAUUUUUUGAGACAGAGCUUCUUGUCUCCCAACCAGGACUAUAAUGGCACAAUCUCAGUUCACUGCAACCUCCGCCUCCAGGUUUCAAGUGAUUCUUCUGCCUCAGCCUCCCGAGUAGCUGGGAUUACAGGUGCCCGCCACCACGCCUGGCUAAUUUUUGUAUUUUUAGUAGAGGUAGGGUUUUGCUGUGUUGGCCAGGCUGGUCUCGAACUCCUGACCCCAGGUGAUCUGCCCACCUCGGCCUCCCAAAGUGCUGGGAUUACAGGCAUGAGCCAUGGCGCCCAGCCUGUUCUAUUUUAUUAUUAUUGUUGUUAAUAUCUUACUGUGCCUAAUUUAUAAGUGAAACUUUAUCAUAGGUAUGUAUGUAUAGGAAAAAACAUAGUGCAUUUAGAGUUCAAUACUAAGGUUUCAGGCAUCCACUGAGUGUCUUGGAACACAUCCACCAGGCAUAAGGGGGUGGGGGUGACUACUAUACUUAGGUAAGAUUUAUUUGGAGAGUGCUUAAUAAAAAUUAUGAAUUUCUUG